CUGUUGAUGUUCCACUCGACGUUGUCGUAGCCUUCCUGGCUAGCACUCACCCUGAAAAGAGAAGAAUCAUGACGGGGGCAAAGGAGGAAGUCGGGAUCAUUAUUACAGCCAAACAAAGUCUGCAUAGGAAGGAGGUCCCCUAACUCAGACACAUAGUGUGUGGUUCGUAACGGUUUUGGAAGGCACAGUCUGUGACGUUCUAGAGGAUUUGGGGAACAAACAACGUACCUUGUAGUAUUAUAGGACUUCACAUUAUUGUCAUAUUCAUCAAGCCAUUCAGGGAAUCAUCUGGAUUCAUGAUAUUUUUACACUUAUUUUUUUUCUUUUUUAUGUUGUUGUUUUUGACUCCAGGUUCACCACUGAAACUGUAAUAAUAACAAAAGUUACUGCUUUUCAUUCUACUUACCUUUUCUUGUCAUUGUAAUUCAUUUGACUAUGCUUGUAUUAUUCUGUCCAUCUGAUUAAAUUAAAAUCAGU